UACGUAGGGCGCAAGCGUUGUCCGGAAUUAUUGGGCGUAAAGAGCUCGUAGGUGGCUUGUCGCGUCUGCCGUGAAAGCCCAUGGCUUAACUGUGGGUCUGCGGUGGAUACGGGCUGGCUAGAGGUAGGUAGGAGCAAGCGGAAUUCCUGGUGUAGCGGUGAAAUGCGCAGAUAUCAGGAGGAACACCGGUGGCGAAGGCGGCUUGCUGGGCCUUACCUGACGCUGAGGAGCGAAAGCGUGGGGAGCGAACAGG
rnacentral:rRNA from 1 species